UGGGGAAUAUUGGACACUGGGGGGAACCCUGAUCCAGCCAUGCCGCGUGUGUGAAGAAGGCCUUAUGGUUGUAAAGCACUUUAAGCGAGGAGGAGGGUACUGGUAUUAAUACUACCAGCUACUGGACGUUACUCGCAGAAUAAGCACCGGCUAACUCUGUGCCAGCAGCCGCGGUAAUACAGAGGGUGCGAGCGUUAAUCGGAUUUACUGGGCGUAAAGCGUGCGUAGGCGGCUAAUUGAGUCGGAUGUGAAAUCCCCGAGCUUAACGUGGGAAUUGCAUUCGAUACUGGUUAGCUAGAGUGUGGGAGAGGAUGGUAGAAUUCCAGGUGUAGCGGUGAAAUGCGUAGAGAUCUGGAGGAAUACCGAUGGCGAAGGCAGCCAUCUGGCCUAACACUGACGCUGAGGUACGAAAGCAUGGGGAGCAAACAGG
rnacentral:rRNA from 1 species